UUACCUCAUUGGGUUAUGGGUACC
rnacentral:siRNA from 1 species